UAAGAAGGGGGCUAGCGUUGCUCGGAAUCACUGGGCGUAAAGCGCACGUAGGCGGCUUCUUAAGUCAGGGGUGAAAUCCUGGAGCUCAACUCCAGAACUGCCUUUGAUACUGAGGAGCUUGAGUUCGGGAGAGGUGAGUGGAACUCCGAGUGUAGAGGUGAAAUUCGUAGAUAUUCGGAAGAACACCAGUGGCGAAGGCGGCUCACUGGCCCGAUACUGACGCUGAGGUGCGAAAGCGUGGGGAGCAAACAGG
rnacentral:rRNA from 1 species